rnacentral:rRNA from 1 species
CCUACGGGAGGCUGCAGUGGGGGAUAUUGCACAAUGGGGGGAACCCUGAUGCAGCGACGCCGCGUGGGUGAAGAAGCGCCUCGGCGCGUAAAGCCCUGUCAGCAGGGAAGAAAAUGACGGUACCUGAAGAAGAAGCCCCGGCUAACUACGUGCCAGCAGCCGCGGUAAUACGUAGGGGGCAAGCGUUAUCCGGAUUUACUGGGUGUAAAGGGGGUGUAGACGGCGAGGCAGGCCAGGAGGGAAAGCCCGGGGCCCAACCCCGGGACUGCUCUUGGAACUGCGUGGCUGGAGUGCAGGAGGGGCAGGCGGAAUUCCUGGUGUAGCGGUGAAAUGCGUAGAUAUUAGGAGGAACACCAGUGGCGAAGGCGGUCUGCUGGACAGCAACUGACGGUGAGGCGCGAAAGCGUGGGGAGCAAACAGGAUUAGAUACCCUUGUAGUC